rnacentral:rRNA from 1 species
CUCCUACGGGGGGCUGCAGUGGGGAAUCUUGCACAAUGGGCGAAAGCCUGAUGCAGCAACGCCGCGUGCGGGAAGAAGGCCCUAGGGUUGUAAACCGCUUUCAGUAGGGAAGAAAAUGACGGUACCUACAGAAGAAGGUGCGGCCAACUACGUGCCAGCAGCCGCGGUGACACGUAGGCACCAAGCGUUAUCCGGAUUUAUUGGGCGUAAAGAGCUCGUAGGCGGUUUGGUAAGUCGGGUGUGAAAACUCUGGGCUCAACCCAGAGAGGCCACCCGAUACUGCUAUGACUAGAGUACGGUAGGGGAGCGGGGAAUUCAUGGUGUAGCGGUGAAAUGCGCAGAUAUCAUGAGGAACACCAGCGGCGAAGGCGCCGCUCUGGGCCGUAACUGACGCUGAGGAGCGAAAGCGUGGGUAGCAAACAGGAUUAGAUACCCGUGUAGACAU